UUCCAGUGUUAAGGGGACAGCUUCUUCCUCUUGUUCUUCCCCUCCUUCCUCGGGGACAGCAUUUUGUUCAUUGUUUUCAUUCAACUCUCGAGUUGCCUGUUCCCGUUCAAAAGGUUCAUCAACUACAAAACCCUUAGUGAAAAAGGUUUGUAUGAACUCAAUUAUUUGGGCCACUUACUCUUCUGUUGCUUCAGUGUUCUUAUUUCAUCUUCAGUCUUUAAAAAACAAAA